ACUCAAGAAAAGAAUCUUAGUCCAACCUAAAGCUAAUCCAUAAAAUCUACUACUACUUUAGAGCAAUUCAAAUAAGGUACAGCCUAUUUGACAUAGGACACAACCUCAAACAACGGCUAACUCAUAUAUACUUAAACUAAGUAGGCUUGAAAGCAGCCACCUUAAAAAAGCGUCAUAGCUUAAUUUUCCUUAUCCUAAAUCCCACAACUUACUAAGAACCCUUCAUCCGUACUGAGUACUUCUAUACUUCUAUAGAAAUUUUUAUGUUAAAACUAGUAACAAGAAGACACUUCUCUUUUAAUGCAAACAUAAAUCAGAACGGAAUAUCCACUGAUACUUAUACACCCUAUUAGCAAACUUAUACACUCGAAAAACCUACCUUUAUUCCCGUUAACCUAACACAAGAGCAUUUCAAGAAAGAUUUUCAAAAAAAGAAGGAACUCGGCAAACAUUGAUUCCGCCUGUUUACCAAAAACAUCGCCUCCUGAGUAAAUAUAGGAGGUCCGACCUGCCCAGUGAUAUUAAUUCAACGGCCGCGGUAUUUUGACCGCGCUAAGGUAGCACAAUCACUUGUCUCUUAAAUGGGGACUAGUAUGAAAGGACCCACGAGAAUCUAACUGUCUCCUUUCUUUAAUCCGUGAAACUAAUCUCCCUGUGAAAAAGCAGGGAUCAUUAUAUAAGACGAGAAGACCCUAUGGAGCUUUAGAUAAAGCAAUACUUUCUUUUUAUAAACCAUUUUCAGAAGAAUACCCCCAAGAAAUUUUGUUGCCAAUCUUUGGUUGGGGUGACCACGGAGUAAAACUAAUCCUCCACGCCGAAUGGAACCUUCCAUAACAAAGAGCUACAGUUCUACGAACCAAAAAAUUGACAAUUGACCCAAUAUUUGAUCAACGAAACAAGUUACCCUAGGGAUAACAGCGCAAUCUACUUCAAGAGUCCCUAUUGACAAGUGGGUUUACGACCUCGAUGUUGGAUCAGGGUGUCCAAGUGGUGCAGCCGCUACUAAAGGUUUGUGUGUUCAACAAUUAAAACCCUACGUGAUCUGAGU
rnacentral:rRNA from 1 species